rnacentral:rRNA from 1 species
AUGAAGACCAAGGCUUCGACAUUCUUCAAGCAGAUGCUGUCCACCAUCGUGGCCGUGGUCAAGGCCAAGUCCACGGCGGUGCGCGCCAAGACGAGCACCCUCAAGACGCGCCUCCUCGUCCUCGGCGUCCUCCGCAACAGGAAGCUCCUCGUCAGCGCCAUCAACCACAAGAUCCACGCCAUCAUGGGCCAGGACGACCACGCGCGCAAGGAGGAGGCAGCCCAGGAAGACGACGGAGGCAAGAAGGCCAUCGUGCUCUACACGUCGCCCAGCUACGUGACGGAGCGCGACGUGGAGGCCGCCGCCGAGGAGGAGGAGGAGGAGAGCGACGACGAGUACCUGACGCACUCGCUGUUCCGCGAGGAAGACGACGAUGACGACGAGCUGGUGAACGCGCCGGGGUCGGUGAUUGACGUGGUGCGCGACGCCAAGGAGAAGGAGGCGGAGGGGGCUGAGUUCCGGCUGGAGGACGAGAUCGACCAUGUCGCCGACGUCUUCAUCCGCCGGAUCCACAAGCAGCUCAAGCUGCAGAAGCUCGAGUCGUUCAAGAGGUUCUGCGAGAUGAUGGAGAGGAGCGCUUGA